rnacentral:lncRNA from 1 species
UAUUUUAUUAUUAUUUUAUUAUUAUUCUUAUUAUUAUUGUAUUUAUUUGAAGAAAGGUCGUCGUUUUUUUUUUUUUUUUUUUUUUGGAAACAUUGUUUUAAAUCACCAAAGGAUUAUCUAUAGCCGGACAGGUGACGGAUUAUAAAUGAUAUUUGUACUUAAAUGCUUUGUAUAACUUUUGUACGAUGCGUCAAAACUUUGUUUGUCGGUUUAGAACACGAUCGUUACGGAAAAGAAACCUCUAAAACUCUCUUACCGGCGUGGACUACCACACAGUUCAGCCAUGUUUACAUAUCGCCCACCUUUAUGUCGGCCGAGAAAGGAAGAACAUUUAAGAUUUGUAGUUCGAAAAAAAAAUAUUUUGGAGAUCGAAACGAUUGCAUGUUUAUAUUUAUAUAUAUAUAUAUAUGUGUCAUUUAUGUCUUUUUUUUAUGUUUGUAAUUAAUUAUAUAUAGAGAGACUAACGCACGUACUCAUCUACAGUUUCGCUUUACCUCAUUUGUUGUAGUAGUAACCAAUGUGAAAUGCCAAAACCGAAAUCGUGCACUGUGACCAGAGUCUGUAGAAAGAAUAAUAAAUAAUAAUUCCGUCCUGUAAUUCCGUUUUAAUACAAAUUAUAAACGAAGGAAAAAAAAAAAAAAAAAAAAAAAUACGUCCAAAAAUAAAUAAAAGAAAUAUUAUGAGCAAAAUAUAAAUAUUUUU